UACGGAGGGGGCAAGCGUUAUUCGGAAUUAUUGGGCGUAAAGGGCGCGUAGGCGGCUAGAUGUGUCAAAGGUGAAAUCCCUCGGCUCAACUGAGGAACUGCCUUUGAAACUGUCUGGCUUGAGGCCGGGAGAGGGUAGCGGAAUUCCCAGUGUAGCGGUGAAAUGCGCAGAUAUCAGGAGGAACACCGAUGGCGAAGGCAGCUCGCUGGAACGGUACUGACGCUGAGGCGCGAAAGCGUGGGGAGCGAACAGG
rnacentral:rRNA from 1 species